rnacentral:lncRNA from 1 species
UAUAGGAUAUACCUGUAAUUGGGAGAUUCGAGGGUUCAAAAGUCGAUCGUAACGUCCUUUGGAAGUAAUCUUUCUUAAUUUUGGCCGUUUUUUAUUUUCGGGCCCCUCAAUACCCCUUAAACCGAAUAUGUGCACUAUAUUCACAUUAAAGCUUGUGUUCCUUAUUUUAUAAGCUUUCCUAUGGUAUAUAGGAUAUACCUGUGAUUAGGGGAUUCGAGGGUUCAAAACUCGAUCAUGACGUCCUUUGGAAGUAAUUUUUCUUGAUUUUGUUCGUUUUUUAUUUUCGGGCGCCUCGAUAUCCGUUAAACCGAAUCUGUGCACUAUAUUCACUAUAUAGCUUGUGUUCCUCAUUUUAUAAGCUUUCUUAUGGUAUAUAGGAUAUACCUGUUAUUAGGGGAUUCAAGGGUUCAAAACGCGAUCGCAACGUCCUUUGGAAGUAUUUUUUCUUGAUUUUGGCCGUUUUUUAUUUUCGGGCGCCCCAAUACCCCUUAAACCGAAUCUGUGCACUAUAUUCACUAUAUAGCUGGUGUACCUUAUUAUAUAAGCUUUCCUAUGGUGUAUAGGAUAUACCUGCAAUUACGGGAUUCGAGGAUUCAAAACUCGAUCGUAACGUCCUUUGAAAGUAAUUUUUCUUGAUUUUGGCGGUUUUUUAUUUUCGGGCGCCUCAAUACUCCUUAAACCGAAUCUGAGCACUAUAUUCACAUCAAAGCUUGUGUUCCUUAUUGUAUAAGCUUUCCUAUGGUAUAAAGGAUAUACCUGUGAUUAGGGGAUUCGAGGGAUGAAAACUCGAUCAUAACGUCCUUUGGAAGUAAUUUUUGUUGAUUUUGGCCGUUUUAUAUUUUCGGCGCCUCAAUACCCCUUAAACCGAAUCUGUGCACUAUAUUCACUAUAAAGCUUGUGUUCCUUCUUUUAUAAGCUUUCUUAUGGUAUAUAGGAUAACCUGUAAUUAGGGGAUUCGAGGGUUCCGAACUCGAUCGUAACGUCCGUUGGAAGUAAUUUUUCUUAAUUUUGGCCGUUUUUUUUUUUCGGGCGCCUCGAUACCCCUUAAACCGAAUCUGUGCACUAUAUUCACUAUAUAGCUUGUGUUCUUCAUUUUAUAAGCUUUCUUAUGGUUUAUAGGAUAUACCUGUAAUUAGGGGAUUCGAUGGUUCAAAACUCGAUCGUAACGUCCUUUGGAAGUAUUUUUUCUUGAUUUUGACUGUUUUUUAUUUUCGGGCGCCUCGAUACCCCUUAAACCGAAUCUGUGCACUAUAUUCACUAUAAAGCUUGUGUUCCUUAUUUUAUAAGCUUUCUUAUGGUGUAUAGGAUAUACCUGUAAUUAGGGGAUUCGAG